GCAGAGUUGAGACCCGCGCGUUAAGUGCCGUCUGGAAUUGGGAAAUAGUUCGACGGACGAAAGAGCUUUCUUGCGAUGCCGGUUUCACAUCCCGCUGC
rnacentral:ncRNA from 1 species